AGGCGUGUGGCUCAGUUGGCAGAGCGUUCGCUUAGCAUGCCAUAGUAUAUGCGAACGGUCCUGGGUUCGAUUCCCAGCCCGUCCA